AUGUUAGUUGUCUAUGAGCCCACUCAGAUUCAGAUUUCUUGUUCGACAAAUUCCUACCUCUAUAUCUAUCUCUGAGGUGUUUGGGUUUUGCAAAACUCCAUAGACAUGCAGAAGAGAAAUGCUAUCCCCACUCCGACCAAGAUAGAACUUUUACCAAAAGUUUAUUGUGAUCUUUUUGUUCAAAUAACAAUUAAGGUGAAGCAGGUCAGGAACAAUGAAUCUCUUUAUGAUAAACAGAUCCAUUUUGCAAGUUCGUUAUUACGGGUAGUUCCUACAAAGAAUCGGACUAAUGACGUAUACAAUGCUUGA
rnacentral:rRNA from 1 species